rnacentral:rRNA from 1 species
AUAGCGUAUAUUAAAGUUGUUGUGGUUAAAAAGCUCGUAGUUGGAUCUGCGUUUGGCUGAGGUGGUCCCCCACUGGGCGGCACUACUUCGGCUGAACUAAUCAUUCGGUUUUCUCUUGAUGCUCUUAACUGAGUGUCUUGAGUGGCCGGAACGUUUACUUUGAAAAAAUUAGAGUGCUCAAAGCAGGCGCUACGCCUGAACAUUCGUGCAUGGAAUAAUGGAAAAGGUCUUUGCAGCCUUUUAUUGGUUAUCGCUGUAAGGAAAUGAUCGACGGGGACAGACGGGGGCAUUCGUAUUGCGACGUUAGAGGUGAAAUUCUGGGAUCGUCGCAAGACGGACUACUG